rnacentral:lncRNA from 1 species
CUUGCCAAAAAUAAACCUAUAUAUGCGAAUCAGUCAAAAUAUAGUGCCAAUAUAUACUCAAGAUUGCAUCUGAAUCUACUAAAUCUAUGCAGUUCUAUGGAUAGAUCGAUCCCCCAACUAAAAUCCAUGAAUGCAGUUCCUUUCUCACAUUGAAAGAUGCAUUCUCGCGAACCUUCGGUUCAUUAAUAUGAAUUCAAACCGUUCUAGAAUAUGUGGAGAGAAUUAAUUUGCUAUAAAGGAACA